GAUGAACGCUGGCGGCGUGCCUAAUACAUGCAAGUCGAGCGAACAGAUGAGGUGCUUGCUCCUCUGACGUUAGCGGCGGACAGGUGCGUAACACGGGGAGAACCUACAUAUAAGACAAGGAUAACUUCGAGAAACCGGAGCGAAUACCAGAAAAUAUAAUGAACCGCAUGGUUCAAUAGUGAAAGAUGGUCUUGCUGUCACUUCUAGAUCGAACCACGCCGCGUUAGCUGGGUGGUUAGGUAACGGCUUACCAAGGCAAGGAUGCGUAGCCGACCUGGGAGGUUGUCCGGCCACACUGGAAGUGAAACACGGGCCAGACUCCGACUGGAGGACGCAGUAGGGAAUCUCCCGAAAUAGGCGAGAGCCUGACGGAGCAACGCCGCAUGAGUUAUGAAGGUCAUCGGAUCUUAAAACACUGUGAUUAGGGAAGAACAAAUGUGUAAGUAACUAUGCACGUAUUGACGGUACCUGAGCAGAAAGCCACGGCUAACUACGUG
rnacentral:rRNA from 1 species